UAAGACAGAGGGGGCAAGCGUUGCUCGGAAUCACUGGGCGUAAAGGGCGCGUAGGCGGGAUGGCAAGUCAGUCGUGAAAUCUCUCGGCUCAACCGAGAAACGUCGGCUGAUACUGCCGUUCUUGAGGGAUGCAGAGGAGACUGGAAUUCCCGGUGUAGCGGUGAAAUGUGUAGAGAUCGGGAGGAACACCGGUGGCGAAGGCGGGUCUCUGGGCAUUUCCUGACGCUGAGGCGCGAAAGCGUGGGGAGCAAACGGGAUUAGAUACCCUGGUAGUCCACGCCGUAAACGAUGGAUGCUAGCCGUUGGCAGGCUUGCCUGUCAGUGGCGCAGCUAACGCAUUAAGCAUCCCGCCUGGGGAGUACGGUCGCAAGAUUA
rnacentral:rRNA from 1 species